CAGUCGCCGCGGUAAUACAGAGGGUGCAAGCGUUAAUCGGAAUUACUGGGCGUAAAGCGCGCGUAGGUGGUUUGUUAAGUUGGAUGUGAAAGCCCCGGGCUCAACCUGGGAACUGCAUCCAAAACUGGCAAGCUAGAGUACGGUAGAGGGUGGUGGAAUUUCCUGUGUAGCGGUGAAAUGCGUAGAUAUAGGAAGGAACACCAGUGGCGAAGGCGACCACCUGGACUGAUACUGACACUGAGGUGCGAAAGCGUGGGGAGCAAACAGGAUUAGAGACCCGAGUAGUCCCUGUCUCUUAUAC
rnacentral:rRNA from 1 species